GAUACCCGAAUGGGGAAACCCAGUGUGACUCGUCACACUAUCAUUAACUGAAUCCAUAGGUUAAUGAGGCGAACCGGGGGAACUGAAACAUCUAAGUACCCCGAGGAAAAGAAAUCAACCGAGAUUCCCCCAGUAGCGGCGAGCGAACGGGGAGGAGCCCAGAGCCUGAAUCAGCAUGUGUGUUAGUGGAAGCGUCUGGAAAGGCGCGCGAUACAGGGUGACAGCCCCGUACACAAAAGCGCAUGUGCUGUGAGCUCGAUGAGUAGGGCGGGACACGUGGUAUCCUGUCUGAAUAUGGGGGGACCAUCCUCCAAGGCUAAAUACUCCUGACUGACCGAUAGUGAACCAGUACCGUGAGGGAAAGGCGAAAAGAACCCCGGCGAGGGGAGUGAAAAAGAACCUGAAACCGUGU
rnacentral:rRNA from 1 species